UCCUACAGGGCAUGCUCUGAUGUAGUUGGAAGGAGUCUGGUGAUCAUAGGAUCUGUUUUGUAAAUAAGCUGUAAAUACUGCAAUAAAGUUUGAGCUGCUUUUUAUAGCUGAACUGAAAGGAGUCUGAAGUUUUUUCCGUCUGUUUCGAGCAGACAGCUCAGGAUCGUCAGAGGAGACCAGACAAGAUUGAGACAGGGAAGGUAAUCAAUCUCAAACAACAACUGUCAAGCACAACAACUUUCAAAGGCCUCCCCAGAUGAUGUUAAUCUUUGAAGUGGCUCAUAGGAGGGAGAUAUGUUCAGACAGGUAAACUGGGCUGGAACCGUCUACUUGCUCCUGAAGGUUGUUACUAGGUGAAGUGGCUGUCUAUGAUGUCGCGGGGAAAGAAAGGGAGAACGGAGAAAGGAAGAAAAGAAAGAGGAAAAGAAGGGAAGAAAGGAUAGACCUCCUAUGAAUUUUGGUAUCCACAGCUGCCUAAAGGUAUCAUCAUCAAUAUUAGUAUCAUCAUCUUCAUCACCCAGCAUCGCCAAUUACAAAGAAUUGUGGGAUUUUAAUCCCACAGAAGAAUAAAAAGUGCACUGCUCCUUGAUUUAGAUGCAACAAGUUUAUGCAUCACCUUUAAAAACUGCCAACAUGCCUUUUUUCCAACUUUGGAGUUGUCGCUUCUACCUAUAUAAAAAAAUAUCCAAAAUUAGUCCAGAUGAAGAAAGGCCUACCUCUGUU